rnacentral:rRNA from 1 species
CAAAGGAAUUGACGGGGGCCCGCACAAGCGGAGGAACAUGUGGUUUAAUUCGAUGAUACGCGAGGAACCUUACCCGGGCUCGAACGGUACAGGUAUAUUACAGAGAUGUAAUAGCUAGCAAUAGCUUGUAUCGAGGUGCUGCAUGGUUGUCGUCAGCUCGUGCCGUGAGGUGUCGGCUUAAGUGCCAUAACGAGCGCAACCCUUGUCAUUAGUUACCAUCAGUUCAAGCUGGGGACUCUAAUGAGACUGCCACCGUAAGGUGUGAGGAAGGGGGGGAUGACGUCAAAUCAGCA